rnacentral:lncRNA from 1 species
ACUGGAUUCGGGGAUCUCCAGAGCUGGAAUUCCCCUUUUGGAGUCCCUCCAAACUGAAACAAGAGGCGGGCCUUUUGUAUUCUCACAUCGGGCAAUCUUUGGAAAAUAGAAUCACUCUCAAAGAGGUUGUAAGAGAAGCCCAGCUUCCCUGUCUGGUGAGGUCAUUCCCGGUAAAGCAUGCAAGGGGAUUCCUAGCAAUCCCAAGGGUGAGACUGCAGAAGGGACCCACUUGGGGCAGAAGGGCCUGGCUGAGAAUGAAAUGUGAGCCUUCUUCCAGCUCCUGUGUCAGAACAGCAGAGAAAGGAGCCCAGGAAUAUGGUGAGGGACCACGGAGGUUCAUGUCUGGAAUUCUGCCUUAACCCUGCCCCAUCUGUCAUCUUAACAGCUAUUGCUUUUAAAUAACUUUAUAGGUAGCCAGGCCUGGUGGCACAUGCCUGUAAUCCUGGAUACUUGGGAGGCUGAGGGAGAAGGAUUGCAAGUUCAAGGUCAGCCUGACCUAAGAAGAUUGAGC